UACGUAGGCGGGACGACAAGUCAGUGGUGAAAUCCUGCGGCUCAACCGUAGAACUGCCAUUGAUACUGAUAUUCUUGAAUGUAGUUGAGGUAGGCGGAAUGUGUAAUGUAGCGGUGAAAUGCUUAGAUAUUACACAGAACACCGAUUGCGAAGGCAGCUUACUAAACUAUGAUUGACGCUGAGGCACGAAAGCGUGGGGAGCGAACAGGAUUAGAUACCCUGGUAGUCC
rnacentral:rRNA from 1 species